GACGGAGGAUGCAAGCGUUAUCCGGAAUUAUUGGGCGUAAAGCGUCCGCAGGUGGACAUACAAGUCUGCUGUCAAAGUGCAGAGCUUAACUCUGUAAAGGCGGUGGAAACUGUAGGUCUUGAGUAUGGUAGGGGUAGAGGGAAUUCCCGGUGUAGCGGUGAAAUGCGCAGAUAUCAGGAAGAACACCCGUGGCGAAGGCGGUUCUCUGGGACGGUACUGACGCUGAGACGCGAAAGCGUGGGGAGCGAACAGG
rnacentral:rRNA from 1 species